rnacentral:rRNA from 1 species
UGGAAGUAAAAAAUCGUAACAAGGUUUCCGUAGGUGAACCUGCGGAAGGAUCAUUACAGUAUUCUUUUGCCAGCGCUUAACUGCGCGGCGAAAAACCUUACACACAGUGUCUUUUUGAUACAGAACUCUUGCUUUGGUUUGGCCUAGAGAUAGGUUGGGCCAGAGGUUUAACAAAACACAAUUUAAUUAUUUUUACAGUUAGUCAAAUUUUGAAUUAAUCUUCAAAACUUUCAACAACGGAUCUCUUGGUUCUCGCAUCGAUGAAGAACGCAGCGAAAUGCGAUAAGUAAUAUGAAUUGCAGAUUUUCGUGAAUCAUCGAAUCUUUGAACGCACAUUGCGCCCUCUGGUAUUCCAGAGGGCAUGCCUGUUUGAGCGUCAUUUCUCUCUCAAACCCCCGGGUUUGGUAUUGAGUGAUACUCUUAGUCGGACUAGGCGUUUGCUUGAAAAGUAUUGGCAUGGGUAGUACUAGAUAGUGCUGUCGACCUCUCAAUGUAUUAGGUUUAUCCAACUCGUUGAAUGGUGUGGCGGGAUAUUUCUGGUAUUGUUGGCCCGGCCUUACAACAACCAAACAAGUUUGACCUCAAAUCAGGUAGGAAUACCCGCUGAACUUAAGCAUAUCAAAA